AGCAUAUCAAUAAGCGGAGGAAAAGAAACCAACAGGGAUUGCCCCAGUAACGGCGAGUGAAGCGGCAAGAGCUCAAAUUUGAAAGCUGGCUCCUUCGGGGUCCGCAUUGUAAUUUGCAGAGGAUGCUUCGGGAGCGGUCCCCAUCUAAGUGCCCUGGAACGGGACGUCAUAGAGGGUGAGAAUCCCGUAUGGGAUGGGGUGUCCGCGCCCGUGUGAAGCUCCUUCGACGAGUCGAGUUGUUUGGGAAUGCAGCUCUAAAUGGGUGGUAAAUUUCAUCUAAAGCUAAAUAUUGGCCGGAGACCGAUAGCGCACAAGUAGAGUGAUCGAAAGAUGAAAAGCACUUUGAAAAGAGAGUUAAAAAGCACGUGAAAUUGUUGAAAGGGAAGCGCUUGCGACCAGACUCGCCUGCGGGGUUCAGCCGGCAUUCGUGCCGGUGUACUUCCCCGCGGGCGGGCCAGCGUCGGUUUAGGCGGUCGGUCAAAGGCCCUCGGAAGGUAACGCCCCUCGGGGCGUCUUAUAGCCGAGGGUGCAAUGCGGCCUGCCUAGACCGAGGAACGCGCUUCGGCUCGGACGCUGGCAUAA
rnacentral:rRNA from 1 species